rnacentral:rRNA from 1 species
UGGGGAAUAUUGGACAAUGGGCGCAAGCCUGAUCCAGCCAUGCCGCGUGAGUGAUGAAGGCCCUAGGGUUGUAAAGCUCUUUCAACUGUGAAGAUAAUGACGGUAACCGUAGAAGAAGCCCCGGCUAACUUCGUGCCAGCAGCCGCGGUAAUACGAAGGGGGCUAGCGUUGUUCGGAAUUACUGGGCGUAAAGCGCACGUAGGCGGAUUGGUCAGUUAGGAGUGAAAUCCCAGGGCUCAACCCUGGAACUGCCUUUAAUACUGCCGGUCUAGAGUUCGAGAGAGGUGAGUGGAAUUCCGAGUGUAGAGGUGAAAUUCGUAGAUAUUCGGAGGAACACCAGUGGCGAAGGCGGCUCACUGGCUCGAUACUGACGCUGAGGUGCGAAAGCGUGGGGAGCAAACA